AGUGAACGCUGGCGGUAGGCCUAACACAUGCAAGUCGAACGGCAGCACAGUAAGAGCUUGCUCUUACGGGUGGCGAGUGACGGACGGGUGUGGAAUACAUCGGAAUCUACUUUUUCGUGGGGGAUAACGUAGGGAAACUUACGCUAAUACCGCAUACGACCUACGGGUGAAAGCAGGGGAUCUUCGGACCUUGCGCGAUUGAAUGAGCCGAUGUCGGAUUAGCUAGUUGGCGGGGUAAAGGCCCACCAAGGCGACGAUCCGUAGCUGGUCUGAGAGGAUGAUCAGCCACACUGGAACUGAGACACGGUCCAGACUCCUACGGGAGGCAGCAGUGGGGAAUAUUGGACAAUGGGCGCAAGCCUGAUCCAGCCAUACCGCGUGGGUGAAGAAGGCCUUCGGGUUGUAAAGCCCUUUUGUUGGGAAAGAAAAGCAGCAGGUUAAUACCCCGCUGUUCUGACGGUACCCAAAGAAUAAGCACCGGCUAACUUCGUG
rnacentral:rRNA from 1 species